UUUACUAAUAUAAUGUUGGUGUAUCAAGUAAAAUUCAUUUUAUCAUAUAAUGGAAUCAUUUUAAAAUUUAUUUUGUAAAUAUAAUAAUAAUUAAUACUAAAUUUAAUUAUUAAAUAGUCAAAUAAUUAAAAUUUAAAAUGAUAAUAACAGAAAAUAAAAUAAAAAAAAAUUAAAUUCGUAUACUAACACUUAAGUGGUUAAAAAAAUUAAAAUAAAUAAAUAAAAAUUUAAAAUUUCAAUUGAUAAAGUAGAACACUUUAAUAAAAAUUGAAAGGGGACUUAAGUGUUCCUCCUAAUUAAGAAGAUUUAACUAAUAAAAAAAAUAAGGUAGCAUGUAAAACAAUUCAAAAAUAUGUAAACUAAAAUUAAAGUAAAGAGAUGAUAAAUAAGAAACUGCCAUAGGCUAAAUUGAUGACAACAUUAUUGUUUGAAUAAUGAAUUUCAUUUUACUAUAAAUAAAUUUUUUUAAAAUUAUUUCCAUGAAAAUAAUAAUAAUUAAAUUUAAUAUUUAUUAAAAUAAAAUAAAAUUAACACUUGUAAAAUUAAGAAAAAAUAGGAAAAGUCUUGUAAAUAGAGAAAAAAAAAAAAAGAAAUUGUACUUGUCAAGUGCACCGUGCAGUGGGUUGAGUGUAGCCCAGCAGCAUAUGCUAUACUUGGAAUA
rnacentral:misc_RNA from 1 species